UACGUAGGGGGCUAGCGUUGUCCGGAAUCAUUGGGCGUAAAGCGCGUGUAGGCGGCCCGGUAAGUCCGCUGUGAAAGUCGGGGGCUCAACCCUCGAAAGCCGGUGGAUACUGUCGGGCUAGAGUGCGGGAGAGGCGAGUGGAGUUCCUGGUGUAGCGGUGAAAUGCGCAGAUAUCAGGAGGAACACCGAUUGCGAAGGCAGCUCGCUGGAACGUAACUGACGCUGAGACGCGAAAGCGUGGGGAGCAAACAGG
rnacentral:rRNA from 1 species